GUGUGGGUGCUGUAAGUGUUAGGGGUGCAGUGUCUGUGUGUGUGUGUGUGUGUGAGGGUGCUAUAAGUGUUAGGUGUGCAGUGUGUGUGUGUGAGUGAGGGUGAUGUGAGUGUGUGUGUGUGUGUGUGUGUGCUGUGUCAGGGGUGCAGUGUGUGUGAGUGAGGGUGCUGUUCAUGUCAGGGGUGCAGUGUGUGUGUGUGUGCUGUGAGUGUCAGCGGUGCAGUGUGUGUGUGCUGUGAGUCUCAGGGGUGCAGUGUGUGUGUGUGAGGGUUCUGUAAGUGUUAG